rnacentral:rRNA from 1 species
UGUAGUCAUAUGCUUGUCUCAUAGAUUAAGCCAUGCAGGUCUAAGUAUAAGCCGAAAUAAAGUGAAACCGCGAAUGGCUCAUUACAUCAGUUAUGGUUCCUUAGAUCUCCGGUAUCCUACUUGGAUAACCCUGGAAAUUCUAGAGCUAAUACAUGCAAAUGUAGCCUCAACCCUUGUGGGAGAGGCGUUUUUGUUAGACUAAAACCAAUCGGGGAGCAAUCCCUGUUGAUUUGGUGAGUCUGAACAACUUUGAGCGGAUCGCAUGGUCUUGUACCGGCAACAACUCUUUCAAAUGUCUGCCUUAUCAACUUGAUGGUAGGUUAUGUGCCUACCAUGGUGACAACGGGUAACGGGGAAUGGGGCGGGGGCGGCGGGCCGGGCGCGGGGCGCGGCGGGCGAACCC